AAACCAAACCAAAGUAAAAAAAAAACAAAAGCUUGGAAAUCUGAACAAAAUGAGUGAGAACUCACUACCGUCUCCUCAUCGAAACUGAGGUCC
rnacentral:snoRNA from 1 species